AAAUCCUGCAAAAUUCACAAAUUUCCUGCUUUACGGCUGCUUAUAGAAAACUGUAUUUAGGGGGCAUUAUUAUUUGUGUGUUCUUCUUGCGCACACGUUCUGUCUACGCGCAUGCGCACCCCCGCCUCUCGCAGACGCGGACACUGCCUGUCAAAGAUCUGUAAACAUUCGCGGGGUUAUGUCAGGAUCAACACAUUCACUCACUUUCGUUUCAAUUUAAGUCGAGUGCGACCGAUCGUGAUGUUUUGGACGGGUCAGCUGUGUGUAAUGUAAACUCGGUCAUCUGUUUUUCUCUCAACUCAUGAAGUUUGAUGCGGUUCACUCACAUGAAUGGUUUGUAAUAAUAAAAAAAACACAGAUCAGCCGUGAUGUCUUGUAGUAAAGCGCUCAUGCACGACACGUCGUUAAGGGACUUUAAUAAACUUUAAACAUCUAGAUCGGACGAUGUUCAGUCAGAAAGUUUGUGUGUGGUUAUCGGCGUAAAAUCAGGUCAUUUCCUCAAUCUCGGUCUAGUGUGCACGCUUUUUGCUAAAUCUGUGCAAGAGGAUAGAUUACACACAUGUUGAAAUUAAAUGCCACGUUCGAUACUCGAAAAGAUGUCGUGUCAAGUAUCUUGGCGAAGGAGGAAACGGUCAGAGGGAAUAUAGGGGUUCUUGAUCCUCGCAUUCUGAAUGUGGAAAAAGAUGGAAGUGUGGUGUACUCGUGGAGAGGGGCGACAGGCACUACAAGAAUUGGGAAAUAUGAUCCUCAAAGUACAGAGAAUAAGCUUCUCUACACAUUUGACAAGCAGGUGUGUGUCAGCAGUUGCUCUUUAAAUAAAGAAGAAACCCUCUUGGCUGUCAGUCUAUCGCAGACCACGCAGGAAGGAAGCCGAUUUAAACCAGGGUCAAAAUGUUUAACACUCCUCAUAGAGAUACACCCCAUCAAUAACACAAAGGUCCUGAAGGCAGUGGACUGCAGAGUCAAAGUUCAGUUUCUUUAUCCUAAGACAUGCAGGACCACUGUGCUGGAAAGUCAUUUACUGUUGGCGGCAGAGGAUGGCUAUGUUGAUCAGUAUCACAUAACUCUAACAAAGCAGGAGGGGUACAGAGUGGUGAUGUUAAACCCGGAUCAUUUGGGAAGAGACAGAGUGGCAGAGGAAUUUAACUGGGUCCAGUGGGAUUCGGACACUCAAAGACUCUUUUACCUCACUACACGGGAGAAGCACACUUUGAAGUGUGUACAGUUUUACCCGGAUCGCAACUAUGAGACUGUGUUUGAGCUUCCGUUGGAGAUGCCUAGCAUUACUUCUGUAACUUCUGUGAGGUUUGUUAACUUCGGGUACGAUCACUAUGAGGAGAAGAAGGUGGAGGAGGGUCUCAGGUUAGAGGUGUUCACUGACCCAAUAGGGACCAUGUGUGUGUGCUACAGCCAUCCGGUGUGCUGGAAUAAGGGCGCCACAUACACUAUUGCAUUUGUGCACAGAGGCUGCAGUAAGACAUUCACUGUAUCUUUGGAAAAAGGCGCUGCACCUGCAAAUGAGCCAAAGGUCCAUCCUAUCUUCAUUCAUCUGGGUUAUUACAUAGUGGUUUACCUGGCAAAUCAUUUCCUGCACCUGAUCAACUGCAGACAGCAAGACCUCCUCUGCUACAGUCUGUUCCUGUCAGGUGCAGAUGGACCUGAAGCUCUGGGUUCAGGUAGUGAGGUUGUAAACGUGUCUGGCAGGAGGCUGCUUGAUGUCAGGGCUGGCAAAAUGUACACCAUGGAGCUCAACCAUGACUUCCUGUUUGAGCUGCUCAGUUUAGAGAGGCCUGAAGCUCAGCGGCUUGCUGCACUGCACUGCCUGCUUGUCUACAUGCAACCAAAUCCUGUAAUAGAUCUCAAGAUUAUAAACUGGAUCAGUGAAAAUGUCAUGAGCUUUGAUGCUUUCGAUCAGAUUCAGGAAUUCAUUCUAGCAUCCCUGUACAGAAUAAGCUACCAGCAGUGUGUGAGCCUAGAUAAAGUGUUGCCGUACUCCUGCGUGUUUGAGAAAAAGGAGCUGCCCGUUGCUCUGACUGCAAUCCCUGGAGUUAAGUGUACUCCUGAAUUGCUCUGUCAACCACUUAUCAAGGGGAAGGGUAAGAGCUUGCAUGGUUACUGGGAGGAGCUACAUCACGUCUUGGACAGGAUGAGAUACUUUGAGGCAGUACCAGGCCUACGAUUUAGAACCACUUUAAUUAAAGACGAGUGGAGGAGAUUACAGACGGCCAUGCACAACUCAGAAAAAAAGAAAUCUCCGCGCUAUAAUCGGCACAUCGAGGAAAACACCAAAAAAGUUUUGUCCAUGGUGGACACCUGGCGUUUGGACAGGCGUGUGGUUCCACUGUUUCAGGAGGAAGACCAACAGCAGAGGGCACUGGUAGGCCUGAUGGUGGACAAGCUCAGAGAACACUUGAACAGGCAUUUACCACGACUGGGGAAAAAAAAGAUUGAUCUGCUUGUGGUGAACUAUGCGGCAAAGCUGUUGGAACUGGUCUGGCACCUGCUGGAAUUGGUGUGGCAGAAGCUGGAGUUGGGCCCUUGGGUGCUUUGCCUGAAACAACAGGGCUGUUCAGAGGAGUGGGCAAUGUUUCAUGUGAUGUUUCGCAUUCUGGAAGCCACUAAAGGGCUCUGUUUUCCCCUCCCUCCAGGUUAUUCCACACUGUUGAGUGUGCUUGGAGUGCGCUGUCUCCCACGGCACACUUUUCUCCAGUAUGUGGAUCACGGCCUUUUGCAGCUCACUGAACCGUUUGUUUCACGCCUUAUGACAGAUCUAGAUAACAGUGACGCCAAUGAGAAACUGAAGUUCAGCAUUUUAAAGAGACUUCCUGAGUGCAUGAAGCAGAAAGUGAGCCAGCAGUGGGACCACCCCAUCACAUCUGCAUGGAUUUCCAGAGAAUAUGUCAAAAUGCUACUGGAAAAGUAUCCAGAGAACAGGGAGUCUAUAUCGCUAGACAACGGUAAGAUGUGUUUCCAUCCCGAGUUUCUGCCUCUGAACUACCUCGCCAAAAUCCUCUCAGACAGGGAAGAACAAGCCGAGAACCCUUUUGAAGAGCAGGAGAAUGUGGACGUCAGGUUUGUGGAGGAGACUGCCUUGAAGCAAACCCUGAUCAAGCUGGGCUUUGAAGUGAAAUGAAAACAGUUGGAGACCAAAAAGGGAAACAUGUAGACUGCAAUCAUUUCCUCAAAUCUCCAAUAAUAUUCAGAGGCUGACCCUGGCUUUUUUCUCUGCAUCAACUUGGCGUCUGUGCUGAUCUCGGAGAUGUCGCAGCCACUCCUGCUGUGUGUCGUCGGAGGGGAACAGACCCUGGUCUAGACGCCUCUGACACGAGUCCAG